rnacentral:rRNA from 1 species
GACGAACGCUGGCGGCGUGCUUAACACAUGCAAGUCGAACGGAAAGGCCCUGCUUUUGUGGGGUGCUCGAGUGGCGAACGGGUGAGUAACACGUGAGUAACCUGCCCUUGACUUUGGGAUAACUUCAGGAAACUGGGGCUAAUACCGGAUAGGAGCUCCUGCUGCAUGGUGGGGGUUGGAAAGUUUCGGCGGUUGGGGAUGGACUCGCGGCUUAUCAGCUUGUUGGUGGGGUAGUGGCUUACCAAGGCUUUGACGGGUAGCCGGCCUGAGAGGGUGACCGGCAACAUUGGGACUGAGAUACGGCCCAGACUCCUACGGGAGGCAGCAGUGGGGAAUAUUGCACAAUGGGCGGAAGCCUGAUGCAGCAAAGCCGCGUGCGGGAUGACGGCCUUCGGGUUGUAAACCGAUUUCGCCUGUGACGAAGCGUGAGUGACGGUAAUGGGUAAAGAAGCACCGGCUAACUACGUG